rnacentral:rRNA from 1 species
CCCUUAGAUGUUCUGGGCCGCACGCGUGCUACACUGAGUGGAUCAGCGGGUCAGGUUGCGCGAAAGUGUUUCCUAAUCUUGAAAUCCGCUCGUGAUGGGGAUUGACGGUUGCAAUUUUCCGUCAUGAACGAGGAAUACCUUGUAAGCGCGGGUCAUCAUCCCGCGCUGAAUACGUCCCUGCCCUUUGUACGCACCGCCCGUCGCUCCUACCGAUUGAGUGGUCCGGUGAGGCUUUGGGAUCUGAGCGGAAAGAGCGUUUCGCUGUUUCUGCUCGGAAAACUCAGUCGAACCUUAUCAUUUAGAGGAAGGAGAAGUCGUAACA